rnacentral:rRNA from 1 species
AGAGUUUGAUCCUGGCUCAGGACGAACGCUGGCGGCGUGCUUAACACAUGCAAGUCGAACGGAAAGGCCCUUCGGGGUACUCGAGUGGCGAACGGGUGAGUAACACGUGGGUGAUCUGCCCUGCACUCUGGGAUAAGCCUGGGAAACUGGGUCUAAUACCGGAUAGGACCGCAUGCUUCAUGGUGUGUGGUGCAAAGCUUUUGCGGUGUGGGAUGAGCCCGCGGCCUAUCAGCUUGUUGGUGGGGUAAUGGCCUACCAAGGCGACGACGGGUAGCCGGCCUGAGAGGGUGACCGGCUACACUGGGACUGAGAUACGGCCCAGACUCCUACGGGAGGCAGCAGUGGGGAAUAUUGCACAAUGGGCGCAAGCCUGAUGCAGCGACGCCGCGUGAGGGAUGACGGCCUUCGGGUUGUAAACCUCUUUCAGUAGGGACGAAGCGGAAGUGACGGUACCUACAGAAGAAGGACCGGCCAACUACGUGCCAGCAGCCGCGGUAAUACGUAGGGUCCGAGCGUUGUCCGGAAUUACUGGGCGUAAAGAGCUCGUAGGUGGUUUGUCGCGUUGUUCGUGAAAACUCACAGCUUAACUGUGGGCGUGCGGGCGAUACGGGCAGACUAGAGUACUGCAGGGGAGACUGGAAUUCCUGGUGUAGCGGUGGAAUGCGCAGAUAUCAGGAGGAACACCGGUGGCGAAGGCGGGUCUCUGGGCAGUAACUGACGCUGAGGAGCGAAAGCGUGGGUAGCGAACAGGAUUAGAUACCCUGGUAGUCCAA